GUGAUUAAUAUAGACAGAGGGCAGGUGUGACUCCUGGGCUCCCACCUCCCAGGGACACAAAUGAAGUCUGGGUGCCUUUUGAGGUACACAGGCAAUGCGGGCCAGCCUCGAAUGUGAUGCCCAAAGCAAGAAUCUUGAGUUUACCACCAACAGCAAAGUUGCUACUUUAGCUAGUGGAAGAGCUUCCUGCCAUCAAGGGAGGACAGCCAAAGCCCUGGAUGGGUGACCACAGUACCUGACCUUAACUGAACCUCUUCUUUUCUGUUAAAAUGGACAUUGAGUGAGCGUCACCUGCAGUUUCUGGAAGCCCUGGAUGCAGUGAGAGAGACUGUUCCUGUGAAUGGGGCCACCCAAAGGCAUUUACAGGACAAAGGAUUGGAGAGAGACCAGACCACACUGCAAGAGAGUGAGCCACCAGAACUGCCAGGUUCUCGAAACCCGUUCUAGCACGUCCAACGUGCCGGGGAAGUCUGACUCAUUGCCCUAAUCUGAACUGCACUGAGAAAAACCCUCGGCUUCGCAUUCCAUCUAGGACCUCCUGCCUGAAGUCACCCUGCCUCCAGGAGAAAGUCAGAUUGCGUUCUGACUGCCACUUAAACCAGUUCUUUGUGAAACACUGCAGGCUUUUCAAGAGCCACUGGCCCGGAGCCCUAGCCAGGGUCUACCUUGGUUGAAGCAGUUUGCUCUGAAGAACACCCUGCUUCGAGGAGUCGAUUCAGCCCUCGAACAGCCUGAGGACCACAUUUCUGGCCAGUCCGACAUGCCAUGGAAUUCUUCGUCAUGGACAUCGUAUGAAUUGCCGUGGGAAAACAGUCUGCUUAGAAUUCUUCGAGGAUCUCGUACCUGAAGUCACUCUACUCGAGGAGAAAUUCAGCAUCCUACCAUGCUGUGUCGCUAAUGGGACACUCAGCAUGAGAACUUGCCUCAGGGACACCUAGGAGGCUCUCGUAGGCACCCUAUUCCCGGCAGGAACGGUGCUUCCAUGGCCGAGGUGGAGCUCAGCCUGCCAUGCUCUAGAGGUCAAGGGAAACUGAACGAUCCCUGAGUAACUCCAAACACCUGUCGCCCUGCUGAGCAACAUCGAGGCUCAUAAGUUGGUGCCUCGGAGGUCCUCUGUGUAUGCCGAGUGUUCGGCAACACACUGAAUGUUCCUUAAGGAGAGCUACAUUUCCAGAAUUCUCGAACUGCCUCAGGACCACAUUGCUGGCCAGUCCAACGUGCCGUGGAAGUCUACGUCAUGAUCGUCGUCUGUGCUGCCAUGGGAAAACGUUCUGCUUAACAAUUCUUCGAGGAACUUGUACCUGAAGUCUCUCUGCUCAAGGAAAAAUUCACCAUCCUAGCUGUGUCGCUAACGGGACACUCAGCGUGAUCACUUGCCUCAAGGUAAGGCCCUGAAUGGCCGUGCGGAAGCAGAGGCCUGCAGAAGUUUCCAUGAGGCCGUAGCCGCUGCUCUCCGUUAUCUGAACGGCUUUUCAGGACACCUAGGACCUCCGCGUGGGUACCGAAUUCCCAGCAGGUUCCCUGAGUACCCCAGGCCCCCCUGGGCCUGCUAAGGAACGUCCUGGCGCAUAUCCCUUCGGAGCCUGUCUGUUUAUGCCAAGUGUAGCGCAACACACCGCACUUCGUCAUGGGACAUCUUGCAAUCCCCUGCACUCCCAAAGUUUCAAGAACACCCUUUAAGCACGUGCAGCAUGCCUGAUAAGUCUGACUCAUUGCCCUAGUCUGAGCUGCGCUGAGAAAACCCCUCGGCUUCGCAUUCCAUCUAGGACCUCCUGCCUGAAGUCACCCUGCCACUAGGAGAAAGUCGGCUUGCUUUCCGACUGCCAAUAAAGCCCGGUUCUUCAUGUAACACUGCAGGCUUUUGAAGAGCCUCAGGCCCGAGGCCUAGCUAGGGCAUACCUUGGUUGAGGCAUUUUGCUAGAUGCAGAACGCCCUGCUUCGAGGAGUUGAGUCAGGGAAGGGACAACUGGGUAACCUCUGUCUCUUUUGACUUGUUAGAAUCCACAGGGAUGUAUGGUGCGUGUGCCCAUGGAAAUGGAUGCCUAAUGGAAGUAGCCUUGCUUUCCCAUUUUGAAAGCUCCAUGCAUGCUGCCUUGAAGCUCCCUGAAAUUCAUUUCUGUUUACAGGCCUCUAGCCACUGUAGGCCUGGCUCCGGGAAGAAAAUGAGUUUCCUGUAGCUAAACCAGGUGCUUCCAUGGCCUGGUUGGGGCUCAGCCUGCCAUGCACUAGAGCUAAAGGGAAACUCAGCGUGAGCACUUGCUUCGAGAACAUGCCCAGACUAUCCGUACAGAAAGGGAGGCGUGCAGCUGUUUCCAUGAGGUCUUAGUAGCUGUUCUGCGCAUUUUAAGGGAAGUGCCCUUUUCAGGACUCUUAAGCCCCUCGGGUGUGCGUCAAUUCCCUCCAGGAUCACUGAGUACCUCCAGACCCCUGUGGGACUUCUGAGCAACAUCGAGGCCCAUAGGUCGGUCCCUCGGAGGCCCUCUGUGUAGGGCGAGUGCUGGGCCACACACUGCACGUUCCUUAAGUAUAGUUGCAUUUCCAGAUCCCUCGAACAUCCUCAGGACGACAUUUCUGGCCUGUCCGCCGUGCCAUGGAAGUCUUCGUUAUGGCCGUCGUCUGACCUGCCAUGGGCAAACAUUCCGCUUACAAUUCCUGGAGGACCUCGUACCUGUAGUCACUCUGCUCGAGGAGAAAUUCAACAUCCAACCAUGCUGUGUCGCUAACGGGACACUGAGCAUGAGCACUUGUCUCGAGGUAAGGCCCUGAAUUGCCGUGCAAAAGCAGAGGUGUGCAGCAGUUUCCAUGAGGCCGUAGCCACUGCUCUGCAAUAUCUUAACGGCAGUACGCUUUUCAGGGCACCUAGGAGCUUCGCGUGGGCACCCUAUUCCCGGCAGGAACAGUGUGUACCCCCAGGACCCCCUGGGCAUGCUAAGAAACUGCAAGGGCCGUAACCCAUCUGAGCCACUCUGUGUAUGCCGAGUGUUCGGCAACACACUGAAUGUUCCUUAAGGAGAGCUACAUUUCCAGAAUUCUCGAACUGCCUCAGGACCACAUUGCUGGCCAGUCCAACGUGCCAUGGAAGUCUACGUCAUGACUGUCGUCUGUGCUGCCAUGGGAAAACGUUCUGCUUACAAUUCUUCGAGGAGCUUGUACCUGAAGUCACUCUGCUCAAGGAAAAAUUCACCGUCCUACCAUGCUGUUUCGCAAAUGGGACACUCAGCGUGAUCACUUGCUUCAAGGUAAGGCCGUGCAGAAGCGGAGGCGUGCAGAAGUUUCCAGUAGGCCGUAGCCGCCGCUCUCCGUUAUCUUAACGGCUUUACAGGACACCUACGAGCUUCGCGUGGGCACCGAAUUCCCGGCAGGAUCCCUGAGUACCCCAGCCCCCCCCCCGCGCCCCCGGGCCUGCUAAGGAACGUCCUGGCGCGUAUCCCUUCGGAGCCUGUCUGUUUAUGCCGAGUG